rnacentral:sRNA from 1 species
AUUGUCAAUGUGUAACAAGGAAGUAACUGAGGUUGACCAAAGAAAAUCUUUAUUGCGGGGUUGCAUCCCCUCCUACUUCAAUUGACAGACUUAGUUCCUUAUAAAGGCGUCCACUCCUUGGUGUUGUUACUUCCAUUGAUUCCCUGGUCUGGCUCUCUUUCUUUUCCUAGGGAACAGGCUGCAAAAUCGACUCGAAGACAGAAGUUUGGAUUCCAAAGAAGUCUGCAUUGGCUUGGUAGUGGUUGAUGUAAUAGACCUCCAACAUAUAUGUGCAGAGAAUGUACUGAAAAUGAUCGUCAUUAGAUAGAAACUAUUUUUUGUUUCAUAAUGGAAGCGUGUGCAUGUCUUAGGAGACUGUUUUGUUUUUAGAAGUAAAUGUUU